rnacentral:rRNA from 1 species
AUUGAACGCUGGCGGCAUGCUUUACACAUGCAAGUCGAACGGUAACAGGCCGCAAGGUGCUGACGAGUGGCGAACGGGUGAGUAAUGCAUCGGAACGUGCCCAGUCGUGGGGGAUAACGCAGCGAAAGCUGCGCUAAUACCGCAUACGAUCUAUGGAUGAAAGCGGGGGACCGUAAGGCCUCGCGCGAUUGGAGCGGCCGAUGUCAGAUUAGGUAGUUGGUGGGGUAAAGGCUCACCAAGCCAACGAUCUGUAGCUGGUCUGAGAGGACGACCAGCCACACUGGGACUGAGACACGGCCCAGACUCCUACGGGAGGAAGCAGUGGGGAAUUUUGGACAAUGGGCGCAAGCCUGAUCCAGCAAUGCCGCGUGCAGGAAGAAGGCCUUCGGGUUGUAAGCUGCUUUUGUACGGAACGAAACGGUCCUGGUUAAUACCUGGGGCUAAUGACGGUACCGUAAGAAUAAGCACCGGCUAACUACGUGCCAGCCGCCGCAGUAAUAC